rnacentral:rRNA from 1 species
GACGAACGCUGGCGGCGUGCUUAACACAUGCAAGUCGAACGGAAAGGCCCCUUUGGGGGUACUCGAGUGGCGAACGGGUGAGUAACACGUGAGUAACCUGCCCUUGACUUCGGGAUAACUUCAGGAAACUGGGGCUAAUACCGGAUAGGAAUCCUUGCUGCAUGGUGGGGGUUGGAAAGCUUCGGCGGUUUUGGAUGGACUCGCGGCUUAUCAGCUUGUUGGUGGGGUAGUGGCUUACCGAGGCUUUGACGGGUAGCCGGCCUGAGAGGGCGACCGGCCACAUUGGGACUGAGAUACGGCCCAGACUCCUACGGGAGGCAGCAGUGGGGAAUAUUGCACAAUGGGCGGAAGCCUGAUGCAGCAACGCCGCGUGCGGGAGGACGGCCUUCGGGUUGUAAACCGCUUUCAGCAGGGGCGAAGCUUGUGGUGACGGUACCUGCAGAAGAAGCACCGGCUAACUACGUG